CCGUCGCUCGCCUGCGCUCCUCUGCCGCGGCGAGCUCGGCAUCUCGCUGACGCCGUGCGCUCGAGGCGACCGAGCGCUGAGACGGUGCGUCGGACAUGGCGCGCCUCCAAGAGGCUGCUCGUCUGCUCGGGUGAGGAAGGUGGAAGAGGGGCUGCUGCAGGUGCUGCUGCGCUAACUGCUACUGGUGCUGCAGCAGCUGCUACUGCUGCUUGGGAGGGAGAAGAACAAGAGAUAUCCAGUCUACAGGAAAGUACGGCUCUGAUACCAGAUGUUAGCAGCUCAAUUUUCACUCUCAUUGAGCUGAGAGGAUGACACUCAAGUUGGGGGAGUUUUCUGGGUUUUUCUUAAUUCAGACUCACAAUGCCAUGCCUUCCAACGGGAGGGGUGUCCUCAUAUAUAUACAGCAGGCUGCUGGGCAGCAAACGAAGCCAAUAAUGCUAGUCUAACACUAGUCUAACUGCUAUCCUAGAGAGGACACUAACUGCUGUCCUGGAGAGGACACUAACUGCUGUCUUGCAGUUCAAGAUGCUGCAAGGGUACAAGAGAUGCCUGCAGUCCAAGAUGCUAAGGACUACAAGAUGCUGCAGGGGUACAAGGGACCACAAAGACCAACAGCAAAGACUUAUCCAUCAAUGGUUUUAUUAUCCCUCGAAAGUGAUUGCAUCGAGGCUUGGGAGAGCCUAGCGAAGGUGAUGAUGGACGUGCUAGGAGCGUAAGAGGAAACAUAGUCUGUUCUUAGGAGCGUAAGAGGAAACUCAGCCUGUUUUUGAUCAUCGCAAGAACCAGGGGAAGUGGAUUGCCAGAAUCAGAAAGUUCUUUCAAGCAAAGGAAAAUGUGUGCUCCAUUACAAGUUGCAAAACUACAAUGGCAAGUCCAGCAUCUUUUCUACUUAAAUGAUCCUCUGAUUGUUUGUGCGUGAAUCUCAAUGUGUCACAAAACAAUAUGAUGAUAACGUCCACACAAUUCUUUAAAAAAAAGGUCCACAUAAUGUUUUUCAUAUUCUGUUGUACUUGUUUGCAUAUUUAGUUGGCAUUGAACAUCAAUAUAUUAUUAUUUUGCUUUUACGAGUCUAAA